rnacentral:rRNA from 1 species
AACGAACGCUGGCGGCGUGGAUUAGGCAUGCAAGUCGAACGCGAAAGAGGGAGCAAUCCCUCAAGUAGAGUGGCGAACGGGUGAGUAACGCGUGAAGAACCUGCCUUCAACAGGGGGAUAACACUCCCAACGGGGUGCUAAUACCGCAUGAGACCACGGGUCCGCAUGGACCUGAGGUCAAAGGUGGCCUCUGCUUGCAAGCUACCGGUUGAAGAUGGCUUCGCGUCCCAUUAGCUAGUUGGCGGUGUAAAAGACCACCAAGGCGACGAUGGGUAGCUGGUCUGAGAGGAUGGUCAGCCACACUGGGACUGAGAUACGGCCCAGACUCCUACGGGAGGCAGCAGUCGAGAGGCUUUGGCAAUGGGGAAACCCUGACCAAGCGACGCCGCGUGGAAGAUGAAGGCCCUUGGGUUGUAAACUCCUUUUGUCGGGAAGAAUGCGAUCAGGUAAACAAUCUGGUCGUUUGACGGUACCCGGCGAAUAAGCUCCGGCUAACUCCGUGCCAGCCGCC